rnacentral:lncRNA from 1 species
AUGUCCAUACCGGGAAUCGUUGGUGGCCCAAGGCAAAUACGUAAUUCUGCAUCAUCUCAAAGCAUCAUGAACUGUGCCUGGAGCAGAUCAACCGUGGAUCUGGAAUAUUCCUUAUGCUCAAGCCCCAGACACUCAUGGAAAUGUAUGGGUUCCUUCUUGAUCAGUUCGAGGUGCUGGGAUCAUCUGCAUAAGACAGAAUUAACAUCAGACCAUCUGUGUCUCACUCCACUUUAGGUCUGUUCAGGUUCACACUUAAUGAGGAUUAAGACACCUUAAUUACACACUUUAACCUUUGAUAGAAAUUGUAGACGUACAUCAUAAUAGUGUGCACCCAUAAUGCUGUAUUUUAGUCCUGUUUUGUAAUCAUAGUAACUGUAGAGAUGUUUAGUUAUGCCUUAAGUGUAAACAUUUUGUAAAAAGGCCAAAUGCAUUUUACAACUGGAAAACCUUGAGCUAAAUACAUUUUUCAGUAGCAGUGUCCUCCUGUUACUUGUGGAAAGAACUUAUGUUAAUCUUGAAAUCCAGUAAUGUAUGUUGAAAAUAGCAAUGAAAUUAUGUUUUUAUUCAGCGAAACAACUAUUGUCAGUGGUUUUGACCCAGUCAUCUUCACAAAAUAUAUAUAUUUUUCACAUCCAUUUUGAGCCGGCUUUGUCAUAUAAUGAACAGAGUUCAGAUAAAAAGAGGACUGAAUGAAUCGAUGAAAACAUCUCAAAUUGGUCUUUUUUUAAAAGUUUGAUAAUGGACAUGUCCUCUGAAAUGAAUUCCAGAUGAGCUCCAAGAGCAGAUUGAUUUUUUCAUUCCCGGCUACAGUGAUGCAGUAAUGUGUUUGAGGAGGACUUUGCUCCCCCGGCAUCAGUGAUAUAUUGAAUGUGUUUGAAAUACAGAAUAAUUGGUGCUGUUUUUUACUCAUACUGUAAUUUUCAUGUUGCUUAGCAACAUUGGAAAUGUUUAUUCUACGUUGAAACAGGAAAUCCCUGUGGCCCCAAUCUUUUUUUUUCUUUAAUGAAUAAAAUGUUGAUUCUGUGCAUUAUUUUAAUGUUCACUUAGACCUUUGUUCCAGCAUGUCUGUACUUCAAAGUUACAGCUAGCAUGUCGCUUCUGGAAUUUUUAUUGUGCAUUGUAAUGAAAAAGAACUAUUCGAUCUGAAUUAUGUAUAUCGCUCUUGCACAACUAUCUGUGACAUUUGUUGAAAUCGCUUUAGACUUUAAUCAGAUAAAUAUUAGAGAACUUUCCUCCAUUCUGAAAAGGUCUUUUAGUAUCGAUCCCAGGUCAUUAGAGUAAUUCCUAACAGAGCAGUCUGUCCUAAACAACAAGGAUCAAUGUGUUUACAAAUCAAAUUAGUGACUACUGUGUUAAUGAUUCCCAUUUCAUCCCUGCAAUUACUAAUAAUUGUACCCAUUUUGCUAAACUCGUAGUUUUCUAGAUAUGACUUUUUUGCAAAUAUUGUUCAGAGCGUGUGUGUGUGUGUGUAUAUGUAUAUAUAUAUAUAUAUACACACACAUAUAUAUAUAUAUAUAUAUAUACACACACACAUACAUACAUACGUGUGUGUGGUCCUCAAGUUCACGCAGGUGUCCAAAGUUAACCAUUACAUUAACUAUGGACAUGUAAUACUAACAUUUUACAAACAAUGUAUCUUGUUCUAUCAUUUAAGACCAAUCAAACUUUAUUUUCAACAUUUUGAGUGGGAAGUGUAUUUGUGAUAGUUUUCUUUGACCAUAAAGACUGAUAGACUGCUGCGUUUUGCAGUUCAAAUCUCUAACAUUUUAAAUUUAAUGUCCUUAAUAUCAGACCAAAGUAUCAGACUAUCAAGUAUGUAUCAGUCUCACCGGAGCAUAUUAUUGUGUCUGACAACUGAUGAUGUCUUAUGUUUUGUGGUGUUUUUAUGAGGCUUGAAAAGACAUGAAGGCAUCAUAUGGAAAGCUGUUUUAACAUUAAUUCUUAAAAACUUACCUAAAUUAUGUAGAGUUCUGAUUAAUGUGUAUUAGAGUUGUCUCUGACACAUAUUCGAUUUUUACUAGUGACUAUUAUUUAGGUUCAAAUACUUAUUAGUCUAGUUUUGCUAAUGCUUAUUUAUGAGGCACUAGUUAUCUAUCCAGUUAAAUAUCUGAUAAAAGUGUUAGUGUAUAUUUAUUUAGUACUUUUGGUUUAAAACAUGAAAUAAUAUAAAUAAUAGUAUAAGUGUGAUACAACUGGAAUACACACUAGUCAUGAAUAGUUGAUAUCUGAACCACAGCUCACUAAAGAAUCUAAUGUCAAAACUAGCAAUUUGUCACCAGUAACAGUAGAAUCUGUCUUUUUUUGGGAUAGGAUUGUUGCAAAAUAAUAGGUAGCCUACUAGUGACUGCAGUAGUUGUAGUAGUAAAUUAAAAAUAGAUACUAGUCACUAUUGGAGUAUACUAGUAAAACAAGUACCAGCAACAAAGAGAGAUUGCGGUAGUUUUAGUGUCUUAUGAAUAGUGUUUAGUGUUAAAAUAGCUUGCCAUAGGCGACGGCUCCGAGAGUUUCUUGCAGUAGCAGUGAGCGUGCGCUUCUUGUGAGGUUUGUCUACUGAACUUGAGGCACAUCGUGAAUAUCUCCAGAGAGUUCUUCCGAGUUUAGCCAGUGUAAACUGGUGUGGAAAGCCUACUAUAGUCGUUCUAGCUCGUGCACAAAUUCAACGCCUGUAUCCAGUAUUGUCAGAUCUCAUACAUGCAGCCACCUGAUGGAUGUACUAGCGACUGGAGUGGAUUGAAAGAAGGUAGGCUUUUCGAAGAGACCUAGUGAGAUGCAUCACAUGAGAUGAGCCGAACUACUAGAUCCACCCACAAUUUAAUCUAACUGGAUUUCAGAUGGCACUAAAUCCAUUCUCAAAGGAUUGUAUGAGCAUCUCUCACCAUCAUUGCUCAUAUGCAGUGCAUCUGGUGUACAUGCAGCCAAAGAAUAAUGAAAGACGAGGAAGUUUCUUGAAGUUGCAUGCCCAUCACCGUUAAAUGUAAGAUGUGGAGACUUUAUUACCAGUCC